AAGUGGGCAAAUAUCCUAGGAAAGAGGAAAAAGAAAGUGGCAGAAUAACAACGGAUUUUCAUCUACAAAGUUGCCAACAGCCACCCAAAGGUAGGAGAAAACUCAAUUCAGAAAAGUUCCAACGGAGAUGUCCUGCUUAGCUCAGGCAAUUCGAAUGCACGUCUGAAGCAUCCCGAGACCCGUUUAUCCACGGGAGAAUGAAAGAAAUCCCCUCCACACCACGUGGAUGUAAGGACAUUAGGUGCCAAACUUGGACCCUUUGGCGUGGGCGUUGUUGUCCCUGAUUGUUGCGGGUGCGACAAAGGACUCAUCGGAAGAUCUAGAGGCUUCGAAAAUGGGCGUACAUCAUAUACUCUUGCUACUGCAUUCCAUAUUCACAAUCCCCAUUCAGUUGGCCUGGUUAUGAAGAAGCUUGUCCCACCCUCGACCAGAGACCUUCCACUGUCCCAUGGGAAGAGGAUUCCACCACUUGGGAGGGAGCUUUACCGAAGAAAUAUACAGUUCCCAAAACGGUCUCUGUCUAAAAGCAAAAGCAAAAACGAAUUGAAGGGGAUCCUUGAACAUUGGCCAAGAAGUGCCUAUAGGCAACCAAGUCUUCAGUUAUGGAUCAAGGUUUAGCCUACGUAUAUGGGUGCGCAUUUCAGCAAUAUAUUAGUCAGUCGUCGAUGACAGGUCUACUGGAUAGAUGGCUUUGAAUUUCUUUAUAGGUAUAUGACAAGGGAGCACUCAUUGAAAAACCUGCCACUUUUAUUUGUCAUAUCGGUGUCUUUAAAGUGUUAAAGACGUAAUAACAUUGACAUGUCGUUAGAUCGACUAUUUGGUAUGUACUAAGGUUACUUCAAGCGCAUGUAAUAACGAACAUCGAAAAGCCUAUCAGAAGAACUGUAUGCAUGAAUAUACUCAUUGUGAUAACCAGCAACAAUAAAAAAAAAUGUCGAUGUUUAUUAUCAGCUUCCUCCUUUUUCAAUGAUUCAAUAGGCUCAUCCACCCAAUUUCUUCCACAACAAUAAAAAAGAGUGUUUGUUAACUUGGUCCGAACUUGUCAUGUUCACACAUGUAUGUAAAAGUGAUGUAGGAAAAAUAAAGAUUUUAAUAUUAAUGAUUAUAAAGCUUCCGCGCUGAUGAUUGGCGAAGCGAAUUAGUUCAUGAUUUCGUGAACCCGUAACAAUUCCACGUGUUUCAAGCAUUCCCAAUCCAAUCGAUUUAGUGCGUUUGUUAUUGGUAAUCAUAGAAUCAGAAUCAUGUAUGCAUUUAUUCCAUUGACCGAAAAAAUGCAUACUGAAAGGUUCCAGGCACUAACCCAAGGUUGGAGUAGAACACAAAAGGCCUAAUGAAUCUGAGGGAAGAGGGGUGAUCUUCGAAUUGAUCAGUAACAAUUAGAAAGCCUUUCCAGGACGGUCCGCUUCGUUUUAUC